rnacentral:lncRNA from 1 species
CCAAGCAACUAAGCAAUAAGUCCAGUCGCUUGUUUGGUUCGUUGCUUGUUCUGUUUACUCUCGGGGCUUGUUCGAACGGUGAACUCCGUAAAGCAAUGGGCGCGAAAGAGAAGAAGAUAGCGUUCAUAGUAGUGUAUAUAAAGAAAGGGUAAAUAACACAAAGCAAUAGGCACGAAAGAGAAGAAGAUAGGUUUCAUAGUGUAUAGAAAGGAAAGGGUAAACAACACAAAGUCAGGAAGCAUGACUCCUUACUCACUUACCAUCCCCGUUACUCCACUCCGUUAGCGCUUAGCUUAAUAUACUUAGCUUGUUUACUAACGCUCUGAUAACUCAACUAGUACUUACUUUUAUAUGGGCGCACACCUAAUCAAUAGAAAUCCAGAAUCCCCCUUACUCGAGGCUCAAUAGAAGAAAAGAAUCACCCUACCUACUCUAUGGGGCUUCAAUAUAACAAAAGAAUCACCCUACACACCUAUUAGGAAAGAACAUAGGAAAGGUAAGGCAUAAGGGAAUAUAUAUUUAGAUAAAGGUCGAGGUACAGGAAAGGCUAAGUUCAGAGCUGGUUCGGGGCGGUAUUUGAGUGUUGUAUAGGAAAGAAGGUUCUAUUUGAAUAAGUUCAGUGUAAACCAUAAAUUCUACAAAUGAAUCCUAAAAAGACAGAAAGAAAUGGAUAGAAGAGUUAACUAAGGGCAUUAGAACUGUCUCGAUGGAAUCGGGUUGAAGGAAGGGAAGGGGCGGAUGAGGGUUUUGCUUGUGCGCGAGGAAAGAGCUCUAAAUCGUAUUCAGCCUCCACCGGAUUCAUAAGGAGUGAGUGAGCUUACUAAUAUCUUCUAGAUAGAAUCAGUCUACUUAACCAACCGCUCUAUACAAAAAGAUUCUUCAAAUGGUGAAUUACUUGACUUUGAAAGAUUCUUCAAAUGGUGAAUUACUUGACUUUGCGCCUUUCCCUAUGUUGUGAGGUGCGUGCCCAUCUAAUAUGUAAUAGUGGAGUUCGCCUAAGUGCUAACGCUUACUCUUGGGGUGGGGGUGCGGGGAACAAGCUUAGUAUAGGAACAGGCUACUAUAACAAGCAAGUAUACGAGAACAAGAAGCCAGGCAGUAAUUAGGCUCUUCCAUUCAAGUAGUAGGGGAUAGCUGCACCUAUAUUCUCACUUCCAGUUUCAGGAGUCACAGAGUCGGUUUGUUUUUUCACUCCAUUCUAUUAUAUACAAUGAACGCAUAUUUCCUUUCUAGCCUAUUCCUUAUAGCUUUUUUGAGUUACUACAGUAAGGUUAAGAAAUGACAUAAGAUGCUGGGGGUGAAAGGCACCUACUAAGAAUGCAUGGCAGCAGCUUUAGACAGACAAUGGAGGCAGAUAUGGACCUUUUCUCUUAUAGGAUGCCCCGAUAUUCCAUUCAGUAGAGGCAGCAGUGUUCUUAAGUGAGUUUAGAAAGAAGCCCAGGACUGCUUUGCUUAUCUUCUUUCAAAAAAGAGACUGCUUGCUAGUAUUGUAGGGGAGCACAUUAUACACAAGGCCAUUAAGAAGUCUGGACCAGUUGUAAAGUCAUAAACUCAUUGAAAUGUUGACUACCUACUAGCGCACAACAGCAUUGCUUCCCUAAUGGAAAACUCACUUGUUAACACUUUAAGAACUCCGCUAGGCACCGCAUCGAAUCUUUCGACUUCCUCCGCUAACUCUGCCAGGUACCCCGCAACAAACAAGCAAAGAAUAUUCCUCUGAUCUUGCAAAAUAUAGGUGCGGAACCAAACUAGACCAUUGACUCUGAAACGUAACUCAUUUAUUCUCUCUUACACCCCUAUUAUAGAAUCAAGUCACCCAACUAAGAAGCACUUAUUACUUACUGCAGGGCUGGCUCAACACACAAGUCAAGUAAGCUAAGACGAGUUAAUAGCACAUGGGCACCGAAUCCUUCUACUUCUUCUGCAAACUCAGUGCCCCUACUAUAAUUCCCCUCAACAGUAAGCGUUAGCGAGUUCUUAGGCUUCAAGUUGAGUUAUUCUUGUUGGCGCCCUAUAGCAUUAGUCAUCCAGCUCUUACAGCAAAGAGUCUAUUCCAACAGUGCCACGGCCCUCU